rnacentral:lncRNA from 1 species
AUGUGGUCACCAAGCUGGGUGCCCGGGAAGGCAUGGCUUGUCCUCAGAGCUGCCAUGGGAGAAGCCUUUCCUGAGGAGCUAAGACAGCAGUCCCCACAGCUCGGAGACUGGACAGUGAUUUUGACAAGGCAGGCGGCCUGGCUGCUUCUCCUGAUAAGACAGCACCCUGCUGUUCUCGCUGAAGCGAGGGUUCAUGGCUCUCAGGGGGCCUGGGCCCGGGGCAGGGGCACCUCGGGCCGUUGUGCCUUGGUGACCAGAGGCUCCAGCAUGCCCGGGUGUGUGCUGACCCUGCUCCUGCCAGACCCCUGCCUGCCCCGGGCAGACCCCGGCCAUGUCCUGGCGGGCAGGGGCUGCAGGGCGGGCUCCUCCUCACGGGGGCCUCUGCGCUGCUUUGGGGCAGAAGGGAGGGGAUCACAGGGACAUUGUCCUGUGGGCCCGAGGCCCAGGACUCCCUGCGCCCGCAGGUCCAUCCUGACCCCAUCACAGCGGGGCCCUAAAAGCUGGACAGGUGAGUGGCUUCCCAAGGUUGCACAGCAAGGGCCUGGCGUGCCGAGAGGCUCCGCCGCCUCAGGCAGCAAACACGCACCUCGGCAGAGCGUGAGUGAUGGAACCUCCCGCAGAGCCAGAAACAUGCGCUUCUGGCAGCGGGGGAGGCAUAGCGGGCCGCAGAGACUCACUCAAGGCCCCCAUCCUGGUCUCGGCAGACAGCGGGGGCCCCUGGCCUUGGCAGGCCUUGCUCCGCCAUCAGCCCCCUCCCGGCCCUGCCUGACGCCCAGAGGUUGCUCCGCCCCACGCGGGUGUUUCCUGCCCAUCUCUACUCCACGCGGCUGCAGCCCAGGACCCCCAGUUAUAUGUAGUCAACAGAAAACUGGAAAUAGCACAAAGCUGGACUGUUCCUUUUUACAGGAAACAAACAAGACAGGGAAGAAGCCAGACUUAGAAACCUAGGAGGGUGUCUGCUGGGAAAAGUCAACAGAAGCCCAUGGAUUCCAGGCCCACAAACAAGACACAGCACAGAUGGGAACCAGGAAGUGAGCAUGUGCCCAAGUCACACCUGCCCCGGCAGGUAUAUAGAGGCUCCCGGCCCCAGAGGCCCCACACUGAGCCGCUUCUCUCUCUCCACCUGCUCCUCUGACCUA